rnacentral:ncRNA from 1 species
CUAAUAAAUGCAUCCCUUACAAAAGUCGGGGUUUGUUGCAUGUACUAGCUCUAGAAUUACUCGUCCCUUCUACUGGCGAUACGCUCCUAGCCUUAACUGGUUGGGUCGUGCCUCUGGUGCUGUUACUUUGACGAAAUUAGAGUGCUCAAAGAAAGACUACGCUUUGUAUACAUUAGCAUGGGAUAACAUUAUAGGAUUCUGGUUCUAUUGUGUUGGCCUUUGGGAUUGAAAUAAUGAUUAACAGGAACAGUCAGGGGCAUUUGUAUUUCGUAGUUAGAGGUGAAAUUCUUGUAUUUAUGAAAGACAAACAACUAGAAAGUAAAAAGAUUGGUUGAUGCUGCUUAGC